GAUCACAGAUCUUGUUCUGUUAAAAUUUGCAGAGAUUUUACCAGUAAUUCACAGAAUACUCCAGUAAUUAUUAGGCAUGAAGCCACUGAUCAAAACAACACAAGUCGAGUCCUCUGCAUCAGAGUUCAGUAUAAAGCAAAUGGGUCACAUCUUUCCUAAAGGGAAAAGGAUUGGCGAUUCAGCCCCACAGUAUGCAAACACUGCAAGGAGGGUGGUAGCCUUGGAUCCAGGGUUAUGACAGUGCCCUGCUGGUGGACUUUGUGUGAAAGAAUCUCAUUGGACAGGUAUGGAGAUGCUGGACUAGUUGAACCUCUGGCCUGAUCCAGAAGGACUCUUCUUAUUGUGCUUUGUGGUGUCCUAACAGAAACUGAUCCACUUAUAUUAUAUUGCCUGCGCUCUACAUGCACAGAACACCUACUCUUCUUACAACAGAAAGAUUCAGAGAAACAUCCAUAUUUGGCAAAAGCAUGGUUUACAUUUCAUGAUAUAGUUCUAAUCAAAGAAACAUGAAGAGCUCAGAUUCCAUCGAAUUGUAAAUGUGUACAAUAAUCCAGAUCUUAGGAAUGAACUGCACUUUAACUGAAAUCCAUAGCAACAUAACAAAAAAGGCAUUCUCUAUUUAAAAAUACAGUUGUAAAAUGGACAUAUACAUUUGUAAAGUUUAGUCAAAUGUUUUGAAAAGAAUACAUCUCUGUACUGCAGAGCUUUUCAGAAAUCAAUACUAUUCCUACUUUGAAAUCAAUAUGUAUUAUAGUAAGCCCUCAGAGUAGAUAUUUAUAUUUUGGAAUGGCAUUGCUUAUUUUAAUGCAGUCCAAAGAAAACCUCACCGAUCUUUUCUUUUCAGAGCUAAGGAUUGAGUUUCAGUACUAAAGUGAAUCUCAGUGCUAAAGUAUCUGUGUAAUAAAAAUAUCUCUUUUCUUCUUGGACAAAGAAACAAUUUGAACUUGAGGUUUGGACA